rnacentral:tRNA from 1 species
GCCAUGGUGGCGGAAUUGGUAGACGCGCCGGUCUCAAAAACCGGUGAGGUAACACUCGUGCCGGUUCGAUCCCGGCCCGUGGUA